rnacentral:rRNA from 1 species
AUUGAACGCUGGCGGCAUGCCUUACACAUGCAAGUCGAACGGCAGCACGGGAGCAAUCCUGGUGGCGAGUGGCGAACGGGUGAGUAAAGUAUCGGAACGUGCCCAGUCGUGGGGGAUAACGUAGCGAAAGUUACGCUAAUACCGCAUACGAUCUAUGGAUGAAAGCGGGGGAUCGCAAGACCUCGCGCGAUUGGAGCGGCCGAUAUCAGAUUAGGUAGUUGGUGGGGUAAAGGCUCACCAAGCCGACGAUCUGUAGCUGGUCUGAGAGGACGACCAGCCACACUGGGACUGAGACACGGCCCAGACUCCUACGGGAGGCAGCAGUGGGGAAUUUUGGACAAUGGGCGAAAGCCUGAUCCAGCCAUGCCGCGUGCAGGAUGAAGGCCUUCGGGUUGUAAACUGCUUUUGUACGGAACGAAAAGGUUUGGGCUAAUAAGCUGAGCUCAUGACGGUACCGUAAGAAUAAGCACCGGCUAACUACGUGCCAGCAGCCGCCGUAAGAC